rnacentral:rRNA from 1 species
GAUGAACGCUGGCGGCGUGCCUAAUACAUGCAAGUCGAGCGAACAGACGAGGAGCUUGCUCCUCUGACGUUAGCGGCGGACGGGUGAGUAACACGUGGAUAACCUACCUAUAAGACUGGGAUAACUUCGGGAAACCGGAGCUAAUACCGGAUAAUAUAUUGAACCGCAUGGUUCAAUAGUGAAAGACGGUUUUGCUGUCACUUAUAGAUGGAUCCGCGCCGCAUUAGCUAGUUGGUAAGGUAACGGCUUACCAAGGCCACGAUGCCUAGCCGACCUGAGAGGGUUAUCGGCCCCACUGGGACCUGGGCCCGGGCCCGGCUCCUACCGGAGGCCACCAUAAGGAAUUUUCCGCCAUGGGCGGAAGCCUGACCGAGCAACGCCGCGUGGGGUAAGAAGGUCUUCCGAUCCUAAAACUCUGUUAAUAGGGAAGAACAAUUUUGUAAGUUACUAUGCACCUCUUGACCGUUCCUUAUCAGAAAGCCACCGCUAACUACGUG